GCCUACGGCCAUAUCACCCUGCACCCACCAGUUACUCGCUGAAGCUAAGCAGGGCUGAACCUAUUUAGUACCUGGAUGGGAGAUCAUAUGGGAAAACUAUGUUGCAGUUGAAA
rnacentral:rRNA from 1 species